rnacentral:rRNA from 1 species
CCUACGGGAGGCAGCAGUGAGGAAUAUUGGUCAAUGGCCGGAAGGCUGAACCAGCCAUGCCGCGUGAAGGUCAGUGCCCUAUGGGCGUUAAACUUCUUUUGUGCGGGAGCAAUAAUGGUCACGUGUGGCCAGACGAGAGUACCGUACGAAUAAGCAUCGGCUAAAUCCGUGCCAGCAGCCGCGGUAAUACGGGGGAUGCAAGCGUUAUCCGGAUUUAUUGGGUUUAAAGGGUGCGUAGGCUGUGAGGUAAGUCAGCGGGGAAAUGCCCCCGCUCAACGGGGUGAAGUGCCAUUGAUACUGCCUUGCUGGAAUGCGGAUGCCGUGGGAGGAAUGUGUGGUGUAGCGGUGAAAUGCAUAGAUAUCACACAGAACACCGAUUGCGAAGGCAUCUCACGAAUCCGCGAUUGACGCUGAUGCACGAAAGCGUGGGUAUCAAACAGGAUUAGAUACCCCAGUAGUC